rnacentral:misc_RNA from 1 species
UUUCCGUAGGUGAACCUGCGGAAGGAUCAUUAAUGAGUUGUCAUGGGGUUCGAUGCUGGCAGCCAGUCUUUGGAUGCAUGUGCUUGCCCUAACAAUCAUCUUCUUCCAAACACCUGUGCACAUUUUUGAGGGAGUCUUGAGUUGGUUGCCGCUCUUGGGUGAUUUUCUCACAUUCCCCUAAAUCAUUAUACGCUAUUAACAAUGUUGAACGUGCUCUGUGCCGCAAGGCCAUUAAUAUAAUACAACUUUUAACAACGGAUCUCUUGGCUCUC